rnacentral:lncRNA from 1 species
AUGCUGCAUUACACUGCAGGAUCCAUUUUGGACAGCUCUAUUCUCUUGCUCGCUUUGCUUUUCAGAAACUCAGAAUGUACAAAGGAUGUUGUCUUCAUUCCCUUGGGAAAGACUGAAGCUUGUUGCUGUUGUGAAGAUGAUCAGCAGUUACCCAAGGUCAAAAGAAGAAUCUCAUCAGAAUUAUUUCUUCCUCGUCUGCUCUUUGGACUUGAUGCCCAGAGGCAGAAAACUUUUUUUGUCCAAUGUUUAUCUGAAAUGAUGUUUCAAGCAUAUCAGGAAGACCACUCAUUUUCCAAAGGUCACAUUCAGAAUGAGUGAACCCAUACUACAUUCUUUUCAAGGCAGUUUCCACUAAGGGAAAUGCCCCAGUAUGUGAUAGUGAUGUUUGGAGUCAGACAGAGAUUCCAUACCUACUUGUUAUCAUUUGGGUCUAGGAUUCUCUUAGAAAUACAGUAAUAAAGAUAACAGGUACAAUAACA